AGUAUUUCCCAGCGAAGAUGUAUUGCUUUUGUGAAAAAAGGUAUUGCACAAAAUGUACUGACCCCUGCAAUCUCCCCAAAUGUGGGAAAUUCUACUGCAUAAUUUGUGGUAGUGGGGGACUGCAUUCACGCUCUCUCCUG
rnacentral:snRNA from 1 species